rnacentral:rRNA from 1 species
AACGAACGCUGGCGGCAUGCCUAACACAUGCAAGUCGAACGAGACCUUCGGGUCUAGUGGCGCACGGGUGCGUAACGCGUGGGAACCUGCCCUUAGGUUCGGAAUAACUCCCCGAAAGGGGUGCUAAUACCGGAUAAUGUCUUCGGACCAAAGAUUUAUCGCCUUUGGAUGGGCCCGCGUUGGAUUAGCUAGUUGGUAGGGUAAAAGCCUACCAAGGCGACGAUCCAUAGCUGGUCUGAGAGGAUGAUCAGCCACACUGGGACUGAGACACGGCCCAGACUCCUACGGGAGGCAGCAGUGGGGAAUAUUGGACAAUGGGCGAAAGCCUGAUCCAGCAAUGCCGCGUGAGUGAUGAGGCCUUAGGGUUGUAAAGCUCUUUUACCCGGGAUGAUAAUGACAGUACCGGGAGAAUAAGCUCCGGCUAACUCCGUG